ACAUACGACCACAGGGUGUGAGAACAGGGCUUCCCGUCCGCUCAGCCGUACUUAAGCCACACGCCGGUGAGUUAGUAGUUGGGUGGGUGACCACCAGCGAAUCCUCACUGUUGUAUGUUU
rnacentral:rRNA from 1 species